UCUUUCUCUCCUCCCUCUCUUUCUUUCUUUCUUUCUUUCUUUCACAAAGUCUUCAGAGACUGGAUGAGUUGGUGGAGGGUAUGUUCUCCUCAAUACAAUAGACCAGAAGCAUCAAAGAACAUCCACAGAUCUAUUGAGAUGUACAUUUGUUAUUUGUACACUCUUGCUGUGUGUUUUACAUUUCAAUAAACAAUAGAAAGAAAACUUGGCUUGGGGAGUUUAAAUCUGAUGGUUCGCCUCAACUCACCUGCCCAACAGAAGGGUAAAUGACCCAUGGGCAUUUCUAGUAGCUGUUUUCCUCUGGGCACCAACCUCAGGGUAGCUGGGUCUCUUGAGCGGAGGGUGCCAGCCACACAUGUGGUUUUGUCUGGUAAAGCAAAUGAUGAGGACUAGUUGAGUAUUCGGUGUUUGAAAACCGAUGGAAACCCGUUAAGAGAUCGGGACAAUAGUGUCGAAUGGAAAUACAGUUCGUCUGUUAGCUUAAUCCGGUGCCAUUUUAUAAUUUUAUAUGAGUCGCUUGCCUACUGGAACUGGAACAACAUUCUUGGCAAGUCGGUCAAUCAAGCGAUUGCAGAAGGUGGAUUCCUGUUGUUGGAGCCCAGGUGACACCCACCCUGUGGCUGCUCUCUCAGCCCACUAAAGAUCCAGGGUGCAAGAUGUGCAAGUUCAAGGGGUUGCCUUUUCUUUCCGUCCCAAGCUUCCCCCAAAGACUGAGAAAAGAAAGGAAGUCUUUUGACUCUCGUCUAACUACACGCACUGCUGUCUGAUGUAAACUAAAGCUCAAACGAGUCAUGGCCAAAAAAGUGUGGAAGCCGAGGCCACCAGCCCCUGAGUUCUAAGUGCUGACCCCGUAGCCCAGUAGUUUACCUGGGCUUCCCCGGAGCCGAGCAGAGCCGCGGCAGAGAGGAGCCCUCCGGCGUGGGACGGAGGGAACAGUUCUGUGCUUUUGUUGCUUUUCAAAUAAGAGUUUGACUUUUGAUAACUUGUGACCAUUGUCAAUGAGACUUUCCCUUAUGCUCUGGAGGAAAUGUUUUGUGGGUGUGCCUUCCAGACACCUGUCUGAAAGGCCCUUCUUGUUUUCUGAACAGGUCCUAGGUUAUUCUGUGCUGUGCUCAGAAUCCCCUCUCAUUUUUUAGUGACAUCAGAGCCUGUGAUUUGAGAUUAUCUUCCUUCCUGUUACUAUUUACUGGGAUUAAAAUGCAGGAAUGGAGACGGGAAAAAACAAAACGAAACAAACACAACAUAAAAGUGCUGACGCCCGAACAGGGACUUGAACCCUGGACCCUCAGAUUAAAAGUCUGAUGCUCUACCGACUGAGCUAUCCGGGCUCACAUGCUGAAGCCUUAACACAUCAACUAUAGUCAAUUUAUCUGCAAACUUGAAGGAGAAAACUCUUCUGGAAGUUUCACCGGUGAUUCCGGUUUAGAGGUAUUCAUUCACAAGAUGCUUGUUAAUACCCUAAUUAGCAUAGAAACUCAGUCACAAUGAAAGUCUUCUUUAAUACCCUGAUCUAACUAUAUUAUAUGAAUUAUAAUGUUGCCCCUUAUUAUAAUGUUUUCUUUCUCUCUAUAUACAUGGAUCAAUACUAGAUAUUAUACUGUAUAGAAUUCUGUGCAACUGGUCCUCAGUUUCUAGGCUUCCCAGAAAAAUAUCUCAAAUAUUCUACAUUUGGGCCCAAAUAGAGCACUUUCCAAAGGAAGCCAACAUGACACCAGCGCUUUAAGGGGCAAUUAAAUCACCUUUUAGGCGGCACUUUGGAUAUCUGAAUAUGGGUCGAGAGCCAGAGGAAGC